rnacentral:rRNA from 1 species
UACAGAGGUCCCAAGCGUUGUUCGGAUUCACUGGGCGUAAAGGGUGCGUAGGUGGUGAGGUAAGUCGGAUGUGAAAUCUCGGAGCUCAACUCCGAAACUGCAUUGGAAACUACCUUGCUCGAGGGUUGGAGGGGGGACUGGAAUACUUGGUGUAGCAGUGAAAUGCGUAGAUAUCAAGUGGAACACCAGUGGCGAAGGCGGUUGCCUGGAGCUUUGCUGACGCUGAGGCGCGAAAGCGUGGGGAGCGAUCCGG